GGAGGGAGCAAGCGUUGUCCGGAUUUACUGGGCGUAAAGCGCGCGUAGGUGGUCCAUUAAGUCGGCUGUGAAAGCGCUGGGCUCAACCCAGCAAUGUCAGUCGAUACUGGUGGACUUGAGUCCGGGAGAGGGAAGCGGAAUUGCUGGUGUAGCGGUGGAAUGUGUAGAUAUCAGCAAGAACACCGGUGGCGAAGGCGGCUUCCUGGACCGGUACUGACACUGAGGCGCGAAAGCUAGGGGGGGAGCGAACGGGAUUAGAUACCCCGGUAGUCCUAGCCGUAAACGAUGGUCACUAGGUGUUGGGGGGUAUCGACCCCCCUCCAGUGCCGAAGCUAACGCAUUAAGUGACCCGCCUGGGGAGUACGGCCGCAAGGCUG
rnacentral:rRNA from 1 species